rnacentral:lncRNA from 1 species
AACUAUCAGCUGUGAGGCUGGGUUUGCUGGGACUGAACAUGUGCCGCCGAGAUAGAGCUCUCCUCUAGAAUACAAGAGACCCUGGAUUUGGUUCCCACAACAAUCAGACAGCACUCCGAAGCUUCAGAGGGGAUGAGGGGGGAGAGUGGUUCUCCCAAUCCACUCACCCGUGUCUUCCUCUUCUUGCCUGUUGGGGUUCAAAGCCAUGACUUGUACGGUCACAGAGUUUCGGGAGACUGUGCCGCCACUCCGCCCUGGAGGCCACACCUUAUGAGUCUGCAUGUGCUUCUUGACGUUAGACUUCUGGGCAAAGGCACGGCCACACGCAAUGCACUGGAAGGGCUUCUCGCCUGUGUGGCUAUAGGAACAAGGCUCACGGAUGGGCAGAGGGCCUGAAAAGGGCGCCUCACUUCCCGGCCCUGUGCUGCAGACACCGGCCCUCAGGGCUACCUUCGGAUAUGCUGCUGAAGAUCAAAGUUCUUGGUGAAGGACUUGUCACAGUAGGAGCACUUGAGUUUCUGAGCUUUUGGCUUCCCUGCAGCUGGAAGGCAAUGGAGGAGAAGGAGGGUCAGGCUGAGGUCCCAGCGGAGGGAACCUGGAACCGCUUCUCCCCUGUCCCUAGGGUCAGACAGGCACACACGUUGGAAACGUCUCUAUCUAUGUGUAGGCAGUGUAAGAGGGAAAGUCCAAGGCUCGCUCUGAAGGGAACAAAGCUCUCUCAAAGGCUUCCUCUGCCUCACGAUGAAAUCCACCCUCUCUGCCAUGGCCUUCAGAACUCCACAUUCUCAGCCUCUGUCAACUUCAGCAUUCCCUCCAUCUUGUGAUGGACUCCUUGCUCCUCGUGAUGCCCGCACACAUGGUCUUCCCUCAGGACUUUGUACCUGUUCAUCCCCCUGCCUGGGAAGCUUGCUCCCAGGUACCAACAUGACUACUUCCUUCCCUCCAGAAA